ACAUCCCGCACCCGAGGUUUCCGCCCCGGCGGGGAGACUAGCGCAGCGCGCACACACAACGUCUCUUAAAGGCUCCGCGAGAGGCUUUGGAUGGAAUCGGGGAGUUUGCCUCUCGCAACUUGGCGAUGUCACGAAUUCCGCCGCUCGCGCACCACCCGGGACUCCUGGCGCAUCUUAGUACCCACAAUGCCAAAGAAAAGUUCCCUGGUUUCUUUGCAGAGGGAUAGGGAGUGAGGGUGGGAAGGUGCCACGAACUGAGCUUGUAGGCAUUUUCCAAACGAAAGAGUUGGCCAGAUCCGGGUGAUGGCAAACCCUUCUCUUAAUUAACUCUGAUCACUUGUUCGGUUUGGUGACAUAUAUAUAUGACAUAUAUUCUUUUCAGAGGAUAAAGGCCGUUCUGUUUCUGUUUAUUCCUUGUAGGGUUAACAUUUCACAGGUAUGUGGCCUGACAUUUUAAUUGCCCAAAUAAAGCAUCUCGGAUGCUGAGAAGCAGAAAUAGACUUCAUCUGAUUGUCAUGAUGCAAUUAGAAUCAAUUUUCCUCAACUUUACCCUCUCUCGCUGGUUUUAGCUAACUCUCCAGCCAACAUCCUGCCACACACCCAGUCAUGGUGAGAGGGGAAAGACCUCUGCCCACUGAUGGACAGGAGGAGGCAGCCGCCCAGCCUCCCCUGUGCACACCCUCUGUACACACAUGUAAGCGCACAUGUAUCAGAUGCACAUUUGUCAAUGUACACAGACAAAGACUUCACCGACUAUGCUUCUAGGUCAUAGAACAGUUGAGUACGGACUUCAUUGUUCCUCAAGUUCCUUUUAAGCAUUCAUAUAGUCAUUAAAACGCACCCAGAGAUUCUGCCCCAAAUGGGAAAUAAUACUAGUACAGGUCACAAGAACCAAACCCAAGCCAUAUUCUACCUCAAGAAGUCACUGCAAAAAGAACAACUUCAUAGCCUAUUGCCAUUCUGCUCCAUGUGCUAAAAUAAUUGAGACAGUUGUGUCUUUGAAUUCCAGGGUGUCUGGUUUUAAACAUCAAACAUGUAGAAUUGCUCUCAGAACACACUAUAUUCCAACGCAGUAAACUUGUUGUUUAUGACCAGUUAGUGAAUUAUCAUUAUUCCACAUUUAUACAAGAAAAUUGUGUCUCCUUUGUACACACUUUGCACCAAGAAAAAACCUCAUGCCGGUAAACCAACCAGGUUUGUGAACAAUUAAAAUAUUUUACACAAAAGACGCUGAGCUCCAGGAAAGAAAUGAACACAUAUGAAGAGUAAAUUGAUGACCACAGAAAACAUCCUUGGUAGCUGAAAAAAAAAUUGACAGGGUAAAGAUAUUUUAAAAAUAAACCAUACAUAUAAUUGACAUGCAUAGAUCACAUUUUACAUUCAAUUCUCUUUACACACAUAGGCAGAAUAUGAGGUAAGGACUAAAGAUCUGGGCAGAUAGGGGCUGGUUUUUAGGAAAGGAAAAAUCUUCUUUAAGCUUCAUUCCCGAAACCUCAGCCCUCACUCUUUCUCCGAUGAAAUCACGUAUUUCACUAAAGCUGCAGGUUCUCGGUUUAUUUGAAAGUUGUUAAAAAAAAAAAAAAAAGCCCAGCAAACCUAUAGUGGACACUGAACUAUCAUAAACCUGGUGUGUAAUAAGAUUGCCACAGAAUGAAGCCAAGCUGAGAAUUUCAGGUUAAUUAGAGACACAAUAUAACUUUCUCCUAAAGAGGAUAAGAAGGAUGGAAAAGAAAUCAUUACACAGGAGAAGGUUUUUGGUAGUUGUUGUUGUUUUCCCUUCCAACCUCUAUGAUUCAGGAAUUGCUAAUGUUACAAAUGUCAGCAGAUUCGGGACAAGCUCAGCUGAGAUGUGAUGAGACUGGGGUUGAGAUAGGAAAUCUAAUGGGCAUUCCCAUCUCAAUAGAGGAUGAAAAUAAUUGAUUAUAGGGAAAUCUUCAUCUCACCUCCUGAAUGAGACUUCCAUAGCAGAUUACCUUUUACAAACAUGGGAAGGAACAAUAUCGAGGAGGAAGAGCUUCCCCAGUCCACUUAGAGAUUUUUGGAAUUUGAAGUAUGCGUGAUGGCCUUAGAUUAAAAUGGAAUAAUUUCCCAACCAUAUCUUAACAAAUUGGAGCCUGCUAGGCAAAUGAUCACAGGGCUGCCAUAAAGUCAGGGGUGUUUCACUCUGUAUUUUAGGACUCAUUCAGUUAUGAAAUGCUGUUACAAGGGAGAAAAAAAAUCACCGUAUGAAUUAUACUUAAUUUUAAUGCAUAGAAGAAGAGACAAGACUACAGACUGAGAAGAAAAAAGGGCAAAAAUAUUUUUAAAUGUCUUCUCCAGAGAUGCUCACUUGCUGUGCGUCUAAGGUUAAAAAGCUCUGAGAAGAUAAAAUCAAUAUAUUAUUGUUGUUUUUUAAAAAUCCAACUCAGUCUUUUUUUGCAGAUGUAAAUUUAUUAUAAUGAGAAGAAUGGCAAGCUUUAAUUUGCCUAGAGAAAGUUGGGACAACAUUUGCCCUAAUCUAAAAAAGAAAAGAAAGAAACUCAACACCCAGGAAUAUAAUUUUCUUGCAGAAAGUGGCCUGAUGGGCUGUAUUUCUUUACAGAUUGAAUCACAAUAUGAAUACAGACCCCAGCAAAUGCCGAGUUUAACUCUGAACUCAGUAGAAACCAGUUCCGUCCUCCAGGAUUCAUUGAAUUCCUCCUUUCCCUCAAUCUAGUCCGUGUGUGUUUUUCUCUUCCACCACACUGGAGCUCCAUGAAUAGGGAAAGGGGCUUCCAUUGUGUCCCUCUGAACUUCCAAGUCAAUGCAAUUUUUAACCACUGGCUUGUGGUACUUUGAAAAUCACCAGGGGCUGUCAGAGUUAGGUCCUCUGAAAAAUUUACAGUGCUAAAUCAGAGCAUAUGCUGGGAGGGAAAAAAUUGCUUAAGAUUAGAGCAAGUACAGUAUCUGUCUGCCCCCUAGUGUAAGAGUCCUCGCUGCCUAAAAUUCAACUUUAAAAGAAAAGGAGCUCUUAAAGGGAAACGACUUUGGACUCACGUAGGCAUAGGAGAACGAAACUUCUGUACAUUUUAAUCUGAAUAAUUCUUCAGGAUUUAAAAUUAAUUGGCUCUGGCUUGGUUGGACCGUACUCGGAUCUCGCCACCUCUGCGUUUCCCGAGUCACUGGCGAAGAGGUCCCAGUUCCUCUGGGAAUCGUCCUGUAUGCAACAUCUUCACAAGAGUGGCAGGCAGUUGAAUCUCUGGCCUUCGUGGGACCACUGGACAUCUGGCAGAGAACCAGGAAACCACGGUUCCCUUCUGUGAGUCCCUCAGCCGGAAAACUACAAGCUCCUCAUGCAGCUGCUGUCUACAGACCCCCUGGACUGCCUGGGGAAGUGAGUCGGAGCUCCUGCAGCAGAGGGGUGGAACAGCUACACGAAGAUCCGAAGGUGGCCAAAAAUAACAGCGCUUUCCAGAUGAGGGAGCCAGUUGUCCAGCACAGUGUCAUGGGACAGUGGGCCCUGGUGCCACAAUGCCCGGCAUCUCCACCAGAUACAGCUUUGAGAUCUUCAUGAUGAAGCUUGCUCCAAUCCAAGGGCUGUCAGGUGGGGUUUGCGGUUCAGCUGCUAACCUUUCUUUGAUGAGUGUAAGGCCAUUAUCAUGGACUUUUUCCCCAGCUGCAGGGUUAUCUACAACUCCGGGUGGAAGUCAAAGAUUGGAAGAGGAUGACCUCUGAUCCUGGAACUGCAUUGCUUGGUGGUCAGGAGGGGUUCUUAGUAAGCAAACUCAGUUUAAUCCCAGAGUCGGAAGUGGGUGUCAACAAGCCAAAGCAACAUCCUUUCAGCUCUGCUGCUUUUUUGUCUUGGUGGAGGAAUAGCCAAUGGAAGAAGAUGGAGAGUCCGGACCAAAAAAAAAAAAAAAAGAUGAGGUAAAGUAGCUACACUUGUGUACAUAAGGAACCAUGUAAAAGUAUGCUAUGUAUGUAUGUAUUUAUUUAUUGUUUUGAGACAGGGUCCUGCUCUGUCACCCGGGCUGGAGUGCAGCGGCAGGAUCUCGGCUCACUGCAACCUUCACCUCCCGGGUUCAGAUGAUCCUCUCACUUCAGCUUCCUGAGUAGCUGGGACUGCAGGAAGGCCCCACCAUGCCUGGCUAAUUUUUGUAUUUUUAGUGGAGACAGGUUGCCAUGUUGCCCAGGAUGGUUUCGAACUUCUGAGUUCAAGUGAUCCUUCCGCCUUGGCUGGCCAAAGUGCUGGGAUUAAAAGUGGGAGCCACCGGGCCCGGCCAUUUUUUUCUAUCCACGUCUUUUUCACUGCUGUGUCUGAGAAAUUUUACACGCUCUCAUAUAUGUAGCUGAAAUGAUGCAGGAGUUCCCCGGCACCAGCCGCUUGGUACUCUCAUUUAUUAAUAUCAAUAAAUCAAUGAAGCCAGGUUGCAAGGCAUUCUUAGGUAUUCAUUCACCAUGCUAGGACCGCAUUGCCUGGAGCUCUUCAGCAGUUUUUCACUGCAAGGCCUUCACACAAGCUAGUCCCUCUUUCUGGAACAUUCCUCUCCACGUUUUGCACGGCCUAUUCCCUCGCCUGGUUCAGAUCUCUUCCCAAUUGUCCUUUCUCCUCCAGCUUUCCUUGAUCCCUUCAUCAUUCUUUCCUCUAUUUGUAUUUAUUUAUUUUUGUUCAUUGUUUUCUUCCCUCCUCUAGAAUGCCCAUUUCAAGAACGAAGGGAAUUUAUUUUGUUUUCCCUGCUGUGCCUCAAUGCCUAGGACAGUGUGAAGAACAUAGAAGGUGCACAACUAAUAAUUUAUUCACUGAAUUAACAGGGCCAGGGUGUUUUUGUUACUUGUUACAGAUGUGUGUGUAACAUUUUCAAAGCCUUGGAAGUUAUUAAAUCACUUUCCCGCAUUUUAUAUGCAAGACUCCUAUUAUUCUUAAUAAGAGUCAGCUGUACAUCUAGACUGCAUUAAAAAAUAAGCAAAACUACAUUUUCCUUGGCCUUGUAAACAAUCCCACAUGGUAUAUGGGCCAAAAAAGGAAAAUUAACAAAAAAGGGAGAAUGUACCAAACCAUAUUCAGUUAGUAAAAGGGGAUGUUUUUCCAUAUUCUUAAAUGAAGAUCUUUUACCCAAUAUAUCCAGUCUCUCAUAAACCAUGAAAUGAAGUGACUGGGUAUCAGAACUAAUUUUCAGAAGAAAAACUGUCAUCUUUAAAGCAGUAAAAUCUUCAUAAAACUGUGUAAACUAAUUACUGGGUUAAGUAAAAUCACUGAAAUAUAUCAGGACCUUCAAAUGUCUCCAGGGCAGACAUAAUAUAGUAAUUCUCUAAUAGUCACUCUGGGGAGAUACUGUAAUGGGCGGGAUGAAGUCAUUGUAAUAUUCUCAUUUAGUUUGGGUCCUGAGACUUAUAAAGAGAAUACCGGUGGCAGACUGCACAUACGGAAGAGAUGCCUAUUUAUUUCACAUGAUACUAGCUGGCCUUUCCAGGCUGUGGAUCAUGAGCUCAGGGGAGCCCAAUGGAGAUGGGCAUACUCAUUUGUUCUGCAGAGAAGAUAUGCCGAAUGUUUCUUCUCAUCCCUCCUCAUCAAAGAGAGUGGAAAAUAUUUUGUGUACAGUAUUUUUUGCUUUAGGUUAUUUAGAAGCCUUAUGUAUAUUAGGUUUUUACAUGUGAGCAAAUAACUAAAAACAAGAGCAGGACCUACCAGAAGCUUCAACAGAACAGACAGACCAUGGAAGACCUCAUGUUCUUUUGAAUUAGUGAAAAGCUAUAUAGUUUAAGUAGGUAUCUUGGUAAUCUAGGAUAAAUCACAAGGAUUGGGUAAACUCAAUGGAAUAUUGAAGGUUUAUUUUAUUAGGUAAUUUUAUAUACAUUUAGGCCACGUGCAGUGGCUCAUGCCUGUAAUCCCAGCACUUUGGGAGGCCAAGGCGAGUGGAUCACUUGAGGUCAGGAGUUUAAGACCAGCCUGGUCCAACAUGGUGAAACGCCAUCUCUAUUAAAACUACAAAAUUUAGCUGGGCAUGAUGGCACUUGCCUGUAGUCCAGCUAUGCUGGAAGCUGAGGCAGGAGAACUGCUUGAACCCAGGAGGCAGAGGUUGCAGUGAGCCAAGAUCACACUACUGCCCUCCAGCCUGGGCUACUGAGUGAGACACCGUCUAAAAAAAAAAAUAUAUAUAUAUAUAUAUAUAUGUAUAUAUAUCUGUAAUGUGACAUUGUUUUCUCAAACCUCAGACUAAUCUUAUGCUCAAUAUGGAAGAUAAUCAUAACUCAUCACUCUGGAUUAUAACUGCUUACAUAUGUCUUUCUUAUGAGAUAAUGCACCUUGAAGACAGGGUCUCACUCUGACUCCUAGGCUGGAGUGCAUCAUGGGGCUCUGCAGCCUCAACCUCCCAGGACCAAGCGGUUCUCCCACCACAGCCCCUCGAGUAGCUGGAACCACAAAUAUUCAUCACCCCACCUGGCUAACUUUUUCGUUUUUAUUUUUUAUAGAGACAAGUUCUCCCUAAGUUGCCUAGGUGAGUCUUGAACUCUUAGGCUGUAGUCAUCCUCUGGCCUUGGGCUCCCAAAGUGCUGAGAUUACAGGUGUGAGCCACUGCACCUGGCAGUUGAAGAUUAUAUGCGGAUCACCUAGGUCAGGAGUUGGAGACCAGCCUGACCAACAUGGUGAAACCCCAGGGGCUUUACUAAAAAUACAAAAAAAAAAAAUAGCUGGGCGUGGUGGUGGGCACCUGUAAUCCCCCCUUCUCGGGGGUCUGAGGCAGGAGAAUCACUUGAACCAGGGAGGCAGAGGUUGCAGUGAGCCAAGAUCACACCACUGCACUCCAGCCUGGGCGACAAGAGCGAGACUCCGUCUCAAAAACAAAACAAAACAAACAAACAAAAAAAAAAAAACAGAAAAAAAAAAGACGGUUAUAAUGGGACCAUAUUUUUACCAUCCCAUUUAUAUGUUUAGGUAUGUUUAGAUACACAAAUACCAUGGUGUGACCAUUGUCUACAUCAUUCAGUACAGAAAUAUUUGUACGGAUCUGUAAUCUGCACAAAUCUGUACAAAUAUUAGCCUGUACAGAUUUGUAGCGUAGAUGCAGUAAGCCAUACCGUGUAGCCUAGGUGUAUUGUAGGCUACGCCAUCUAGGUUUGUGUGACUACACUUUUUUUUUUUUUUUUUGAGAUGGCGUUUUGCUCUUGUUGCCCCCAGGCUGGAGUGCAGUGGCAUGAUCUCGCCUCACCACAACCUCCGCCUCCCAGGUUCAAACAAUUCUCCUGCCUCAGCCUCCUGAGUAGCUGGGAUUAUAGGCAUGUGCCACCAUGCCUGACUAAUUUUGUAUUUUUAGUAGAGACGGGGUUUCUUCAUGUUGAGGCUGGUCUCGAACUUCUGACCUCAGGUGAUCCACCUGCCUCGGCCUCGCAAAGUGCUGGGAUUACAGGCAUGAGCCACCACGCCUGGCCGUAUAGCUACACUUUUUGAUGUUCACACAAUGACAACAAAAUCACAUAACAUUUCAUGUCUCAGAAUGUUUCGCAAUCAUUAAGUGACUCAUGAUUGCACUUAAUCUCUCUGGUCUGUAAAAUAAAGACAACCAGAAGACCUACUCCAAAGGAUUGUUGGGGUGAUAAUAUAAUGCUUAAAAUUAAUACUAUAAAAUAACGUAAUACAAAAUAUUUAUGAUAUUUAUAAAUACAGACAUAAAAAUAUAGUUUUACUUAUGAUAAUAUUUCUUUUUUUUCUUUUUUUGAGACAGAGUCUUGCUGUUACCCCGGCUGGAGUGCAGAGGAGCGAUGUCGGCUCACUGCAACCCCUGCCUCCUGGGCUCAAGUGAUUCUCCUGCCUCAGCCUGCCGGGUAGCUGGGAUUACAGGAGCCCACCACCAUGCCCAGCUAAUAGUUUUUGUAUUUUUAGUAGAGACAGGUUUUCACCUUGUUGGCCAGGCUGGUCUUGAACUCCUGACCUCAAGUAUCCUCCCACCUCGACCUCCCCAAGUGCUAGUAUUACAGGCAUGAGCCACUGUGCCCGGCCUACUUAUUAUGAUACUUCUAAGCGUGAUAAAGCACUUAUACGUCUAGCACACAACAAAUCCUCAAUAAAUGUAAUGUACGAAUGUGGCAGAUUAAGAGAAAAAGCCAAUGAAAUAAAGCUGCAAUACUUGCAUUUAGAAAAUACUAUAGGAAUAGGACAGAAGGCUUGGCUGACUGAAAGGAGGAAUAUAUUAAAGGAAAUGUCUUAAGAGUAGGUGACAUUUGAAUUGGCUAGUGAAAGAGAGAGAGAAUAGCUUGCUAGGGGAAGUAUGAAGAGCAACGUUUUGGACCAUGAAAGGGAAGGAACCAACUGCUUUCUUCCUUCAUUCCUCCCACUGAAGUGUUUUUCUCAGUUUGUCUUAAAUCUCACUUUAUGGGUUCUUCAAACAAUUUGCCCAUUUUUGUGUUUACCUGAGUAUCAGAUCUGUCACGUAGAUUUUCUUUAUGGAGACUCACACAUUUAAAAAAGACUCUCAUAAACAUCAUUGUUUAGUAUUAGUAUAGUUAAUCAUUUUAUACCUUAGGCUUACAAUAUAAUGAUUUUAAGGUUUUACUCAUCCAAAAUCAACUUCUCCAGCCUCCCUUACUAUUAACUCACUCUUUGUAUUUAAUUUAUUAUUCAGUUUUCUAUUUCUUUGGACUGAGUGGGCAUGGGAAAUAGAAUGGGAGAGGAAGCACGUAAUUAGAAAAUAUUGUACAAAGCUGCUGGCUAUUUUAUGUAGAAAAUGAAAUUUGAGACCUCAGGAUGCAAAAUUAAUAUGUAAGAAUUUCAUCACUUUGUUAGAAGAUGCAAUCGGAGUUCAUCCAAUAUACUGUCAGAGACUUGGUGGAUAUUUGUCAAUUUUGUUUGUUAUUCAGGAGGAAUACCUGGAUUUUCUCUGAGGGAGUCAUCCCUGCUUGGUCUCGGUCUACGUGGUUUAUGUGGUGCUUUGCCAAGUCCACUCCCUAUCCACCUUCCAGUCUUAAGCAGGGGGAAUAGCUCAAGCUCAGCCACUCAGGCUUUCCCUUCCGGGAAGCUGAAUUCCGAGUGGUGAGACACAAAAGUGGGAAUAUGCUUGGAACAGAUUCUUCCUGUGAGCAGAACCUUGAAGAGGCUGUUUAUUCAUUCCUGCUACCUGGAGCCCUGAAGCUGUCUGGUUCCCAUCUUUGUUCUGUCACGAUCUGAGCGUCCAGCUUUUGGUUUCUCUGAGCCGCUCCAUAUCCUUCCAAUCAUUUUCCUCUUUUCUUUUGCUUCAUUUAGUCAGAGUUUAACUGAUAGUCUAAGUGAUAGAAUAAAAAUGUGAACACAGAAAAAAAUAUCACUAGAUGACAGCUGGGAUUACUAGACAGCAUUUUCUCACUGGACAUGUGUUUUGAAAGCACAUACCAGCACCAGGCACUGUUCUAGGCACUUGAGUCAGUGACAAACAAAACAAAAUAUUGAGAACAAUAGAUGUGGCUGGGCACGGAUUCACAGGCUCGUGCCUGUAAUCGCAGCAUGUUGGGAGGCCAAGGCGGGGGGAUCGCCUGAGCCCAGGAGUUUGAGAACAAUAGAUGUUCUAACAAAUAUUUGUUGUUGGGCUUUCAGGAGCUAAAUGAAUGGGCUAAUGACAUUUGUUCAACCUUAAGAUAAUUUUUAUAUGACCCUCUGUGAGAGGUUCUAAUAAUUCUUUUUUUAACAAACGAAUAAGAAUAUUAACAACAAUCUAGGUAAAUAUUUCGAAAGAGUUCUUCCUUUGGAAAAAGCAAGCCGAGUGUUGAUUUAAAUUUCUCAAUGAUCAAAGUGUUAAAGUAAUAUGUUUUGAAUAGAGCCAUCUAUAAAACAUACCCAUAUAAACAACAAAACUUGUAAAUGUGUAAUGGGCAAAAGUAAUAAAACUAUUGAAAUAAUGCAUUUUCCUCAUACCAACUCUAUCCAUUAAUUUUUUACAGUUUUCUACCAUGUAACAUUACCCUUCAUAAAAAUGAUAUUUUAAAAUGAGAUGGGGUUGGUAAAAGAAACAAGGGGUAAUAAUGGAAGGAGGAUUGCAAAGCUGUGCUCUGCUGGAUGAGGGAGAAGGGAAAAUAGAAUUCAUUUGGGCUUUCUGUGAGCCAGAGGCCAUGGUCUGUAGCCUUUAAAGGGAUGAGCAAUGCGCAGAGCCAAGGAUUUUUAUAUCUUUAUUUUGAUUAUUUGUUUCUUUUCUCUAAAGAAAUCAAGCACAAGCUAUUUAAAAUAAUGAAAGUCACUUCAAUAUAAUACUUUAUAAGCAAAUUUGUGAAUCUCUCAUGUAUUAAACAUUUAAAAAUUCUUCAUGCAUUCUUGGAUGGGUUGUAUAAAAUCUAAAUGUAAUAUGAUGGUAUUCUUGCAUGAGGCAACUUGGUGCAGUCAGAGGGACAUAGAUUUGGAUUCAGACGGAUCUGAGUUCUAAUCCUGACUCUGCUCUAUUCAAGUUAUUUGACCUCUAUGUAACUAUUUCUUUACCUGAAAAGUAGAGAAUAUAACUCCUAGCAAGUAGUGGGUACUCAAGAUAAGAUGGUUUUCUGGCCAGGUGUGGUGGCUCAUGCCUGUAAUCCUAGCACUUUGGGAGGCUGAGGUGGGUGGAUCACCUGAGGUCAAGAGUUCAAG
rnacentral:lncRNA from 1 species